GAUGAACGCUAGCGAUAGGCUUAACACAUGCAAGUCGAGGGGCAGCACAAGGUAGCUUGCUCUCUGGGUGGCGACCGGCGCACGGGUGCGUAACGCGUAUGCAACUUGCCCUAUACAGGAGGAUAACCCGUCGAAAGACGGACUAAUACUGCGUAUGCUCACAACUUGGCAUCAAGUGGUGAGGAAAGAAAUUCGGUAUAGGAUAGGCAUGCGUCCCAUUAGCUUGUUGGUGAGGUAACGGCUCACCAAGGCAACGAUGGGUAGGGGAACUGAGAGGUUUAUCCCCCACACUGGUACUGAGACACGGACCAGACUCCUACGGGAGGCAGCAGUGAGGAAUAUUGGUCAAUGGGCGCGAGCCUGAACCAGCCAAGUCGCGUGAAGGAUGACUGUCUUAUGGAUUGUAAACUUCUUUUAUACGGGAAUAACAAGAGCCACGGGUGACUCCCUGCAUGUACCGUAUGAAUAAGCAUCGGCUAACUCCGUG
rnacentral:rRNA from 1 species